AAACUUGACGACAUAAGCUUCACUGGGGUCCAUGGUCUAGGAGUUCGUGUGCCUGUGAGGAUACAUGGGAGUGAAGAAAUUCCAGUGAGGAAUGUGACUUUUAGGGAUACGUCAGUGGGAAUAACAUACAAGAAGAAGCAUAUAUUCCAGUGUGCCUUUGUUGAAGGUCGUGUGAUAGGUACCAUCUUCCCUGCCCCAUGUGAGAACCUUGAUCAGUAUGAUGAGCAAGAACGGCUCAUUAAGCACUCUGUCUCCCAUAAGUUGACAGAUAUAGACUAUGAUUUUUGACAAAAUAUUUUGUUUUCAAUCUCCUGGGCAUAGCUUUCUUGAGGUCAAUGACUUCAUCCUGUGUCUAUAUGAGCCAAGCUGGAAAAAUCAUCUUGAGCAGUUUGUUGAGUUUAUAAACAACUGAGAAAUUUCUGUAUAUACAACUCUUGUCAAGAAAUUUAAAAACUCAACAAACUGCUCAAGAUGAUUUU
rnacentral:misc_RNA from 1 species